GACUACUGGGGUAUCUAAGCCUGUUUGCUCCCCACGCUUUCGCUUCUCAGCGUCAGGAAAGGUCCAGAGAACCGCCUUCGCCACUGGUGUUCCUCCUGAUAUCUACGCAUUCCACCGCUUCACCAGGAAUUCCAUUCUCCCCUACCUUCCUCAAGUCUGCCCGUAUCGGAAGCAGGCUCAGGGUUAAGCCCUGAGUUUUCACUCCCGACGCGACAAACCGCCUACAAGCUCUUUACGCCCAAUAAAUCCGGACAACGCUCGCACCCUACGUAUCACCGCGGCUGCUGGCACGUAGUUAGCCGGUGCUUCUUCUGCAGGUACCGUCACGUUAGCUUCGUCCCUGCUGAAAGCGGUUUACAACCCGAAGGCCGUCAUCCCGCACGCGGCGUUGCUGCAUCAGGCUUCCGCCCAUUGUGCAAUAUUCCCCACUGCAGCCCCCCGUAGG
rnacentral:rRNA from 1 species